GACAGAGGUGCCGAGCGUUAGGCGGAAUCACUGGGCUUAAAGCGUGUGUAGGCGGGUCCGUAAGUACCUUGUGAAAUCCCAUGGCUCAACCAUGGAACUGCUUGGUAUACUGCGGAUCUUGAGCCACCUAGGGGCAAGUGGAACAAACGGUGGAGCGGUGAAAUGCGUAGAUAUCGGGAAGAACACCCGUGGCGAAGGCGGCUCUCUGGGACGGUACUGACGCUGAGACGCGAAAGCGUGGGGAGCGAACAGGG
rnacentral:rRNA from 1 species